rnacentral:rRNA from 1 species
AACGUAGGAGACAAACGUUAUCCGGAGUUACUGGGCGUAAAGGGCGUGUAGGCGGUUUGUUAAGUCUGGCGUGAAAGCUCUCGGCUAAACCGGGAGAGGUCGUUGGAUACUGGCGAACUAGAGGAUGGUAGAGGCGUGUGGAAUUCCGGGUGUAGUGGUGAAAUGCGUAGAUAUCAGGAGGGACACCGAUGGCGAAGGCAGGUCUCUGGGCUGACACUGACGCUCAUGCACGAAAGCGUGGGGAGCAAACAGG